GCUUGUCUCAAAGAUUAAGCCAUGCAUGUCUAAGUAUAAACAACUUUAUACUGUAAAACUGCGAACGGCUCAUUAUAUCAGCAAUAAUUUAUUUGAUGGUUUCUUACCCCAUGGAUAACUGUGGUAAUUCUAGAGCUAAUACAUGCGUAAAGUCCCGACUCUUUCUGGGGAGGGAUGUAUUUAUUAGAUAAGAAACCUUCCCCUUUGGGUUGCGUGCCGAGUCACAAUAACUGCUCGAAUCGCAUGGCUUCACGCCGGCGAUGGUUCAUUCAAAUUUCUGCCCUAUCAGCUUUCGAUGGUAGGAUCGAGGCCUACCAUGGCGUUUACGGGUAACGGAGAAUUAGGGUUCGAUUCCGGAGAGGGAGCCUGAGAGAUGGCUACCACAUCCAAGGAAGGCAGCAGG
rnacentral:rRNA from 1 species